rnacentral:rRNA from 1 species
GCGGAAGCUGUGCCUAAUAAUAUACCACAUAAUCUUUCUAAGUCUUAUACGUAUUCUUCCUCGUCUAACUGCAAAGAACUAACACCUUACUCCAAGUAAUCUUCUCAUUGUACCUUGUGCAUCAUGGUUUAACAAGUAAAAACAAAACCAUUUCCUUCUCGAACUUAUUUUGAGCUAGAAGAAUUAUGUUCCAUAGCACCCACCCUAUAGUGUUGCAAUACUAAGGGAAUAAAAGCUUCUAGAAGCUACAUACCUAUCGCAAAUAAAGAUAGCUAGUUUUCCUACAAAAUUAAUUUUCGUUAAGCAAACUAUUAAAAACACCCACACUAAAUAAUAGUUUUGUAAAAAAAUUUAGGCCAAUCUAAAUUUCUCCACUCACUAUCUCCCUAAUUUCACCUCUAUAGGCUUCAAACCAGCCAUUAAAAAGAAAUACGUUCUAGUAUUACUUAAAAAAUUCUUUACAAAUCAAAGUAUAAAAAAAGUAGGAUAUAUUUCACAAUACUAAAAGAAACACAAAUACUGUAUAAAAUGAUUAUUUUCUCACUAUUUUAACCUAAUAACACUAAAACUUCCUUAAAUAAAAAUUUUACUUAUUAAAUCCUCUCUCAGGAACUCGGCAAACAUGAACUUUGCCUGUUUAAUAAAAACAUGUCUUUUAGAAAAAAAAUUAAAAGUCCAACCUGCCCGGUGAUAGAUUUAACGGCCGCGGUAGCCUGACCGUGCUAAGGUAGCGUAAUCAUUUGCCCUUUAAUUGUGGGCUUGUAUGAAUGGUUAGACAAGAGUUCGCCUGUCUCAGAGAAGCAUUUAAAAAUUAACCUUUAGGUGCAGAGGCCUAAAUUCUAGUAAAAGACAAGAAGACCCUAUCGAGCUUUAAUCUACUUUUUUGUAUAUAAAAUAAAAAGAUUUUUAUUGGGGCAAUAUAGGAACAAACAAAGCUUCCUAAAAACCACAAGAAGUACUUUUUUAAAAAGAAACAUUAAAAAUUAUUCUGAAAAUAGCUACCGUAGGGAUAACAGACUAAUCCCCCUUGAGAGUCCACAUUGACAGGGGGGCUUGGCACCUCGAUGUUGGCUUAAGAUAACCAUUAUUUUCUGAAGCAGAACUCUAAUAUGGUAGGUUUGUUCAACCUUUAAUAUCUUACAUGAGCUGAGUUUAGACCGACGUAAGUCAGGUCAGAUUCUAUCUUUACUAUUUUUCCCUUUAUCGUUCGUACGAAAGGAUUUCGAUAAAAAAACUCUUUUACCCUUUUAUCUCCCUU